rnacentral:tRNA from 1 species
GACCGCGUAGCUCAGUUGGCAGAGCAUCUGCCUUUUAAGCAGAGGGUCCCGCGUUCGAGCCGCGGCGCGGUCACCA